rnacentral:rRNA from 1 species
UACGUAGGGCGCAAGCGUUGUCCGGAAUUAUUGGGCGUAAAGAGCUCGUAGGCGGCCUGUUGCGUCCGCUGUGAAAUCCCGGGGCUCAACCCCGGGCCUGCAGUGGAUACGGGCUGGCUAGAGGCAGGCAGGGGAGAACGGAAUUCCUGGUGUAGCGGUGAAAUGCGCAGAUAUCAGGAGGAACACCGGUGGCGAAGGCGGUUCUCUGGGCCGGUACUGACGCUGAGGAGCGAAAGCGUGGGGAGCGAACAGG